rnacentral:rRNA from 1 species
AUUGAACGCUGGCGGCAUGCUUUACACAUGCAAGUCGAACGGUAACAGGGUGCUUGCACCGCUGACGAGUGGCGAACGGGUGAGUAAUGCGUUGGAGCGUGCCGAGUAGUUGGGGAUAACGCAGCGAAAGUUGCGCUAAUACCGCAUACGUACUGAGGUAGGAAGUGGGGGACCUUAGGGCGUCACGCUUUUAGAGCGGCUGACGUCUGAUUAGCUAGUAGGUGAGGUAAAGGCUCGCCUAGGCGACGAUCAGUUUCGGGUCUGAGAGGAUGAUCCGCCACACUGGGACUGAGACACGGCCCAGACUCCUACGGGAGGCAGCAGUGGGGAAUUUUGGACAAUGGGCGAAAGCCUGAUCCAGCCAUGCCGCGUGUCUGAAGAAGGCCUUCGGGUUGUAAAGGACUUUUGUCAGGGAGGAAAUCCCUAGUGCUAAUAACACUGGGGGAUGACAGUACCUGAAGAAUAAGCACCGGCUAACUACGUGCCAGCCGCCGCGGUAA